rnacentral:lncRNA from 1 species
ACUAGAUCUAACUUGUCCUGAAGGCACAGCACUCCUCUUGCUUGGAUGUAAAUCUAGGAUUUACAACGAUUAACUAAAAAUGAAG